rnacentral:rRNA from 1 species
CACGCUGUAAACUAAUGUGCGUUAGGUGUGUCAGUGACCACGUGUCACUGAGGUGCCGAAGGGAAACCGUGAAACGCACCGCCUGGGGAGUACGGUCGCAAGGCUGAAACUUAAAGGAAUUGGCGGGGGGAGCACAACAACGGGUGGAGCUUGCGGUUUAAUUGGAUUCAACGCCGGAAAUCUUACCGGGACCGACAGCAACAUGAAGGCCAAGCUGAAGACUUUGCCGGAUUAGCUGAGAGGAGGUGCAUGGCGUAGUCGUGU